UGGGGAAUAUUGGACAAUGGGCGCAAGCCUGAUCCAGCCAUGCCGCGUGAGUGAAGAAGGCCCUAGGGUUGUAAAGCUCUUUCAGCGGGGAAGAUGAUGACGGUACCCGCAGAAGAAGCCCCGGCUAACUCCGUGCCAGCAGCCGCGGUAAUACGGAGGGGGCAAGCGUUGUUCAGAAUUACUGGGCGUAAAGGGCGCGCAGGCGGCUGGUCGCGUCAGGUGUGAAAGCCCCGGGCUCAACCUGGGAACUGCACUUGAUACGGGCCGGCUUGAGGUCGAGAGAGGAGUGUGGAAUUCCCAGUGUAGAGGUGAAAUUCGUAGAUAUUGGGAAGAACACCAGUGGCGAAGGCGGCACUCUGGCUCGUAUCUGACGCUGAGGCGCGAAAGCGUGGGGAGCAAACAGGAUUAGAUACCCCCGUAGUCC
rnacentral:rRNA from 1 species